rnacentral:rRNA from 1 species
GAUGAACGCUGGCGGCGUGCCUAAUACAUGCAAGUCGAGCGAACAGACGAGGAGCUUGCUCCUCUGACGUUAGCGGCGGACGGGUGAGUAACACGUGGAUAACCUACCUAUAAGACUGGGGUAACUUCGGGAAACCGGAGCUAAUACCGGAUAAUAUAUUGAACCGCAUGGUUCAAUAGUGCAAGACGGCUUUGCUGUCACUUAUAGAUGGAUUCGCGCCGCAUUAGCUAGUUGGUAAGGUAACGGCUUACCAAGGCAACGAUGCGUAGCCGAGCUGAGAGGAUGAUCGGCCACACUGGAACUGAGACACGGUCCAGACUCCUACGGGAGGCAGCAGUAGGGAAUCUUCCACAAAGGGCGAAAGCUUGACGGAGCAACGCCGCGUGAGUGAUGAAGGUCUUCGGAUCGCAAAACUCUGUUAUUAGGGAAGAACAAAUGUGUAAGUAUCUAUGCACGUCUUGACGGUACCUAAUCAGAAAGCCACGGCUAACUACGUG